rnacentral:ncRNA from 1 species
ACAAAUGCAAUGACGGAGCAAUAGAUAUUUCAUCGUAGGCAUAGAGAAUCGAUGGUUGGUGUAAAUCGAUACUACAGUCAUAUCCAAAUCACUCUUGAGCUUUUUCGCAGAACGAUCAGUAAGUGAAAACGGUAAGCCCCGUUAUAGGCUAAGAUUUGAUAGAAUCUUAUAAGUGGUCGAUAAAACGGCAACUAGGGUGGUACCGCGUGAGUGUUCACGUCCCUACA